AUAUUCUCCGAAAUGGGAAGGAUGAGAAGCGUCGACCAAGGUUCGAUUCGAGCGAAGCGAGAAAGCGUUGCCGCAGGCAACGACCCGAAGGGCGAGGCGCAACGCGCCGAGUUAUCCUUCCCCCACCACCA
rnacentral:sRNA from 1 species